rnacentral:rRNA from 1 species
AGAGUUUGAUCCUGGCUCAGAUUGAACGCUGGCGGCAUGCCUUACACAUGCAAGUCGAACGGCAGCGCGGGGCAACCUGGCGGCGAGUGGCGAACGGGUGAGUAAUAUAUCGGAACGUACCCUGGAGUGGGGGAUAACGUAGCGAAAGUUACGCUAAUACCGCAUACGAUCUAAGGAUGAAAGUGGGGGAUCGCAAGACCUCAUGCUCCUGGAGCGGCCGAUAUCUGAUUAGCUAGUUGGCGGGGUAAAAGCCCACCAAGGCAACGAUCAGUAGCUGGUCUGAGAGGACGACCAGCCACACUGGAACUGAGACACGGUCCAGACUCCUACGGGAGGCAGCAGUGGGGAAUUUUGGACAAUGGGCGCAAGCCUGAUCCAGCAAUGCCGCGUGAGUGAAGAAGGCCUUCGGGUUGUAAAGCUCUUUUGCCAGGG